AGCGAACGCUGGCGGCAUGCCUAACACAUGCAAGUCGCACGGGUCGGCUUCGCCCGGUCAGUGUCGGACGGGUGCGGAACGCGUGGGGAUCUGUCCUCUGGUGGGGGAUAACCGCGGGAAACUUCGGCUAAGACCGCAUGGGGCGCCGGUGUGAGAGCCGGUGUCAAAGGCGCGCAUCGCGAGGUGUGUGUCGCCGGGGGGUGCGCCUGCGUCCGAUUAGCUGGUGGGCGGGGGAGUGGCACACCAAGGCGUCGAUCGGUAGCUGGUGGGAGAGGGUGAUCAGCUAGGCUGGGAAUGAGACACGGCCCAGAAUCGGACGGGGAGGAGGAGUGGGGAAUAUUGGAGAAGGGGGGCUAGCCUGAUCCAGCAAUGCCGCGUGGGUGAAGAAGGGCUUUGGAUUGUGAAGCCGUUUCUGAGGGGACGAGGGUGACGGUACCCGCAGAAGAAGCCCCGGCUAACUUCGUG
rnacentral:rRNA from 1 species